rnacentral:rRNA from 1 species
UACGAAGGGGGCUAGCGUUGUUCGGAAUUACUGGGCGUAAAGCGCACGUAGGCGGAUUGAUCAGUCAGGGGUGAAAUCCCAGGGCUCAACCCUGGAACUGCCUUUGAUACUGUCGAUCUGGAGUAUGGAAGAGGUGAGUGGAAUUCCGAGUGUAGAGGUGAAAUUCGUAGAUAUUGGGAAGAACACCAGUGGCGAAGGCGGCUCACUGGACCGGUACUGACGCUGAUGCGCGAAAGCGUGGGAAGCAAACAGG